rnacentral:lncRNA from 1 species
UUUAAACCAACUAAGAAGAGCAAAGUGGCAUCACCUAAAUCUACUCCUAUGGUUAGAUCCACAAGAAGUAGAGUUAGGGAGAGUGAAGCAGAACUGCAAAAGGCUCUAGAGGUGAGCAAGAAAAAGAUAAAAGAAAAAGGGAAAGCUAAAAUGGUUGAAAGUUCUGAGGCUGCUAUUUAAGAAGAGGAGGAAGAGAUGGAACUGGUACAUCAAGAGCGGAGUACGACUGUGGACGUUCCCACUACCAAAUCAAAGGGAACCAGGUCUUUUGCAAAGAAGCCCUCCAAGCCUGUACCUGCUGGCUUCUCUAGCCAAGAGAACAAGAUCAGCUGUGAGAGGUAAACAAGUGAAAAUAGCUGAAGGAGAGAAUGAAGAGUGGAGUGAAGAAGAAGGAGAAGAUGAGUCACAACAGGAACAAGAAAGGUAUGCCAUGUUUGGCAAAAGAAAAAUUCUGAAGGGAAGGUUGCUCAAAGACCUGGAGGAGCCAGGCAUGAUG